rnacentral:rRNA from 1 species
ACACGACUACAUUAGAUACCCCCCUGUAGUCCCAGCCCUAAACGAUGCGCGUUAGGUGUAUCGGUGACCACGAGUCACCGAGGUGCCGAAGGGAAACCGUGAAACGUGCCGCCUGGGAAGUACGGUCGCAAGGCUGAAACUUAAAGGAAUUGGCGGGGAGCACCACAACGGAUGGAGCCUGCGGUUUAAUUGGACUCAACGCCGGGAAGCUCACCGGAUAAGACAGCGGAAUGAUUGCCGGGCUGAAGACCCUGCAUGACCAGCUG